UACGAAGGGGGCGAGCGUUGUUCGGAAUUACUGGGCGUAAAGGGCGCGCAGGCGGCUCUGAAAGUCAGAUGUGAAAGCCCCGGGCUCAACCUGGGAACGGCAUUUGAAACUGGCGGGCUGGAGUGUGGCAGAGGGGGGUGGAAUUCCACGUGUAGCAGUGAAAUGCGUAGAGAUGUGGAGGAACACCGAUGGCGAAGGCAGCCCCCUGGGCCAACACUGACGCUCAGGCACGAAAGCGUGGGGAGCAAACAGG
rnacentral:rRNA from 1 species